rfam:Rhizobium sp. MH17 scaffold14, whole genome shotgun sequence.
ACAAAAGAGGCAGGGAGAACAAUUUCUUGCCGACACUCGCGGAAAAGUCUUGGGAGGAUCAGAUCUUAGGCGCGGUCGCUCGCAGCCGCCGGUAACGGAAACGGAUCACGCGAAACUUAAAAAACAAGGCUUCAGGCCUUGUUUUUUUUU